rnacentral:lncRNA from 1 species
UGAACUGACCUGACAUGAUGGAAUGGGACCGUAGGCACACCGCCAACACAGACAAACAUAGAGGGAACUGAGCCGGAGGAGUGCUCCCAGCACCAGAAGCACUCAGUCCCUUAACUGGAAGAAAGCUGGAGCCGAGGCCCAUGAACGUGGCACGCCAGAUGCUACCAGCCGCUGGACGGACUCCCGUGUUUCCUAGCGGUACCUGGACACCACCAUUACUGUACAGAGCUCACCUUAGGCUCUAAACGAUGCAUCUCAAAAUUUCUAAGUAAAGGAUUAUUUUUCUACU